GACGAACGCUGGCGGCGUGCUUAACACAUGCAAGUCGAACGAUGAACCACUUCGGUGGGGAUUAGUGGCGAACGGGUGAGUAACACGUGGGCAAUCCGCCCUUCACUCUGGGACAAGCCCUGGAAACGGGGUCUAAUACCGGAUAACACUGCCAUGGGCAUCCGUGGUGGUUAAAAGCUCCGGCGGUGAAGGAUGAGCCCGCGGCCUAUCAGCUUGUUGGUGAGGUAAUGGCUCACCAAGGCGACGACGGGUAGCCGGCCUGAGAGGGCGACCGGCCACACUGGGACUGAGACACGGCCCAGACUCCUACGGGAGGCAGCAGUGGGGAAUAUUGCACAAUGGCGAAAGCCUGAUGCAGCGACGCCGCGUGA
rnacentral:rRNA from 1 species